rnacentral:misc_RNA from 1 species
CAAAUUUUUUUGAAAAAUUUGCAUUCAUAAAAUGACUAUAUAUUGGUAGAUUCAAAUAAAACUAAAAUAUAAAACUAUAUAACAAGCAUAAAUACAUCAAAUAAAGACAUUAAAUCUAUCAUUUUUAGAAAUUAUUAGCUUUAAACAAUUUAUAGGCUAAAAUAAUUAUGUAGAUACUAGUCCAUAGUUAUCAAAGGCUCAAGGCG